AUGUUUCUCCCACUUCUGUUCCUCGUCGUCCUACUUCUCUUCGGCUCAACCCUGUGGCCCUAUGUUGGCUCAACCCAAAGCUCCCAGUGUCACCAAGACCACCCUGAGGUCAUUCCUAGCCGGCCAUACAACCACCUUGGUCUCGAUGAGCAGCCUGUCGGAAUUAUCCUCCUUGAGCACACGGUGUUCGAAGAAAAGCCUUGUAGGUUGAGGCAAGAUGGACACAAUAGACAGAUGCUCAACUAUUUUGGUGCAAAUCCGGUGUAUCUAGAGUGA
rnacentral:rRNA from 1 species